rnacentral:rRNA from 1 species
CCUACGGGAGGCAGCAGUGGGGAAUAUUGGGCAAUGGGCGCAAGCCUGACCCAGCAACGCCGCGUGAAGGAAGACGGCCCUCGGGUUGUAAACUUCUUUUGUCAGGGACGAAACAAAUGACGGUACCUGAAGAAUAAGCCACGGCUAACUACGUGCAAGCAGCCGCGGUAAUACGUCGGUGGCAAGCGUUAUCCGGAUUUAAUGGGUUUAAAGGGUGUGUAGGGGGGAGAGCAAGUCAGUUGUGAAAUUCCAGGGCUCAACCCUUGAACUGGAUUUGAAACUGUUUUUCUUGAGUACUGGAGAGGCAGGCGGAAUUCCGGGUGUAGCGGUGAAAUGCGUAGAUAUACGGAGGAACACCAGUGGCGAAGGCGGCCUGCUGGACAUUAACUGACGCUGAGGCGCGAAAGUGUGGGGAGCAAACAGGAUUAGAUACCCUAGUAGUC